rfam:Myotis brandtii contig203594, whole genome shotgun sequence.
GGCAGUUCUCGGGUUACACACCCCAGAAUCGGCUCCCUCCUCUCUGGUUCUGGGUGCAUCACCUGGGAACCACA